AAUAUAUAAGUUAUACAUAUAAUUAUAAUUUUUCAAGUUAAACCGAACUCAGCCGUUUCCGCGCCGUCUGCAGCUUGUUCUGCUUCCCCGUCCCUCUCCCCUCUCCGAAAGAGGCCCCUCCUUGGAUAGUCACAGUUGAAAAAUCAAGCCAGGGGAAAACCCGGGUCCAGGAUCCCUACUCUCGCCGCCAUUUUGAAGAGCGAGUUCUUGAAAUGUUGCCUUAGUCAGUGAACUUGCUGGAAUAUCGUGUGCAGGAAAUCGGUAAGGGGCAUAGAAUUGAUUGGAUUCCUGAUGAACAUCCAAGGCAGUUUAGUGGGUGGAAGUAUAUUUUGUUGCAAAAAAGUCAUCGUCUCUGCAGAUAACGAUGAGUUAGCAGUUAUGGUUUUUCUGAAUUUGGAGUUGAUGGUUUGGAGGAGCUGUGAUAAGAAAUGGGUCGACUUGGGUUGUGCCAAUGUUGAUGUUCAGGAUAUUGUUUAUUGUUAGAAGCAGUUUCAUGUAGUGAUGUCAGAUGGGCAUAUUUUAAGUGUUGAUCCGAAGUCUUUGGAGGCUAGUGAAACUUUGCCUCUAUUUUUGAUUCGUUUUACUUACAAAAGCUUUGUAAAUACAUCGAUUGAUUUGUAUUUGAUUAAAAAUCGCAGUAGUAGUGACAACAAAUUUGGAAAUAAAAGAAAUUUCUCUCCAGCUAGGGCUGAGAAAGUGGUUUUGAAUUCUGUUUUCUAUGUGUUUAAGCUUGAUGAAGAAGAACAAGAGUGGAUUGAAGUGAAGGAUUUGGAGGGUAAAGCAUUGUUUCUGUUUGAUGGUGGUAGCUUUUUUUUUUUUUUUUUGGCUAAAGACUUUUUGGGAAUAAAACCAAAUUGUGUUUGUAUGGGUGAAACUGGUUUCUUUGGGGUUACAUAUGAUUUUCCUGGGAUGUAUACUUCAGUUUUCGACUUCAGUGACAGUAGUAACAAGUGGCUUGUAUCAUUUCCUGAAUCUUCUGAGAUAUUUUGGCCUUCACUAGUUUGGCUCUUUCCUGAAUUUUCAGAUAGUCAACUUGUAGGGAAUGGUUGCAAAACUCCAUGAUCUCUCUUCUCUCAGCCAUGAUUCAUUGUCACAGGGUACUCUGUUUUUCAAUUUCAGUCCUUGAUAGUCUCUCUAUAUUUUCAUAUGUCAAAAACAAAUAUUUAUCUGUAAACUAAGUUUACUUUUUAUCUCUUCUUUCGUGGAUCGUAUCCUCUUGAAUAACUGUCACCAUUUUGUCAUGAGUUAACUGUUUUAUUUAAUAAUUUGUUUUUGUGAUUUAAUGAAACUUUCUUAUAUCUGGUUGAUUAAUUUGUGUCUAGUGGCGGAUUCUCAAGUUUUUGUGGCUUCAGUAUGUUCAGCCCUUGGUGCUUUUGCCAGCUUCUAUGUGGAUUUUUUCCAUGAUGCAUCUACUGAUUGAUCCCUGGAUUCUUACUCUAUCAAACCUUUACUGAAUUGAAUCUUUUUCAUCAUUGUUUACAUACGAAGCAUUAUUUUGUUCCGAGUUUAAUGGAAAGGUCUGUUCUCAUAUUCACCUAGAAAAUUUUGCACUAUCUUUCCAAGUCACAUUCAUCAUAACUUUUUGUUCUUCUUAGUACUUCAACAAACGCCUGCAAUUGAGCUUUAUUAUUACAUGUUAGGUACUUGAAGAGCUUCUAUGGAUCAAUUCGAAGACAUUUUACCAAAGAAGUUCUGUGAUUAACUUCUUGUAGAGCAUUUUCAUUGUCAAUGUGAAGAUUUGAUAAACAGCUUGGUCAGACCAUGCCCGGAAUAUUUGUACUUGAAGAGCUUCUAUGGAUCGAUUUGAAGACAUUUUAUUGAAGAAAUUUCUGGAAUCGACCACUUGAAGAGCGUUUCAUCGUCAAUGUGAAGAUUUGAUUAACAUAUUGGUCGGACCAUGCCCAAAAUAUUAAGAAUUCUAUUUUAUUAGUUGGUAGUUAUGCUGUUUUUAAUUUGUGAGCAUGUAUAUAUGCAUUAUGGAUCUUACUGUUGUGAAAUAAGAUUUAAGCUUGAUCAUUUAA